AAUGGAACUUGCGGAUAUUGGGACGGACCUUCAUCAGCAGGUCCGCUGCCUUUUCGAGAUCCGCCUGGUCGUGGCUGUCGGGA
rnacentral:sRNA from 1 species